rnacentral:ncRNA from 2 species
UUUAAUAUUUUGACCGUUGGUAUAAUCUUAUAUAGGAUUAUUUAAAAGGGAAGUUCGGUUAAAAUCCGACACGGUCCCGCCACUGUGAUAGAUAGAAUCUUAGGAACACCACUGUACUAAUUGUAUGGGAAGGUAUAAGAUUUGUUACUCUUAAGUCAGGAGACCUGCCAAUGGAAAAAACGCUGU